AUUGAACGCUGGCGGCAUGCUUUACACAUGCAAGUCGAGCGGCAGCGCGGGGGCAACCCUGGCGGCGAGCGGCGAACGGGUGAGGAACACAUCGGAACGUGCCCCGGAGUGGGGGAUAACGCCGCGAAAGCGGCGCUAAUACCGCAUAUGCUCUGAGGAGGAAAGCGGGGGACCAGUAAUGGCCUCGCGCUCUGGGAGCGGCCGAUGUCCGAUUAGCUAGNGGUGGGGUAAUGGCCCACCAAGGCGACGAUCGGUAGCUGGUCUGAGAGGAUGAUCAGCCACACUGGGACUGAGACACGGCCCAGACUCCUACGGGAGGCAGCAGUGGGGAAUUUUGGACAAUGGGGGCAACCCUGAUCCAGCCAUGCCGCGUGCGGGAAGAAGGCCU
rnacentral:rRNA from 1 species